rnacentral:rRNA from 1 species
GAUCCUGGCUCAGGAUGAACGCUAGCUACAGGCUUAACACAUGCAAGUCGAGGGGCAGCAUUGGAGUAGCAAUACUUCAGAUGGCGACCGGCGCACGGGUGAGUAACACGUAUCCAACCUGCCGCUUACUCGGGGAUAGCCUUUCGAAAGAAAGAUUAAUACCCGAUGGUAUAAAGAGUUCGCAUGUUCUCUUUAUUAAAGAAUUUCGGUAAGCGAUGGGGAUGCGUUCCAUUAGAUAGUUGGCGGGGUAACGGCCCACCAAGUCUACGAUGGAUAGGGUUCUGAGAGGAAGGUCCCCCACAUUGGAACUGAGACACGGUCCAAACUCCUACGGGAGGCAGCAGUGAGGAAUAUUGGUCAAUGGACGAGAGUCUGAACCAGCCAAGUCGCGUGAAGGAAGAAGGAUCUAUGGUUCGUAAACUUCUUUUGCAGGGGAAUAAAGUGCAGGACGUGUCCUGUUUUGUAUGUACCCUGAGAAUAAGGAUCGGCUAACUCCGUGCCAGCAGCCGC